UCGCCUACGGGACGCAGCAGUGGGGAAUAUUGGACAAUGGGGGGAACCCUGAUCCAGCGACGCCGCGUGAGUGAAGAAGUAUUUCGGUAUGUAAAGCUCUAUCAGCAGGGAAGAAAGAAAUGACGGUACCUGACUAAGAAGCCCCGGCUAACUACGUGCCAGCAGCCGCGGUAAUACGUAGGGGGCAAGCGUUAUCCGGAUUUACUGGGUGUAAAGGGAGCGUAGACGGCCAGACAAGUCAGAAGUGAAAGCCCAGGGCUCAACCCUGGGACUGCUUUUGAAACUGCCGGGCUGGAGUGCAGGAG
rnacentral:rRNA from 1 species